rnacentral:lncRNA from 1 species
CUCGAUGCUACCGAGGUCGACCUCGAGGGAUGCAAGUGCAAGGACAUCUUUACUCGCGGACAUGCUGACAAUGAGCUUCAGGACAAGAAGGCGGAGAACAGAGGCGUAAACAAACCUCCCACCAGACAAGACGAAAUAGGCGAAGGCACGCUUGCUAGGGUCACCAGGUGGGUAACGCUCAUGGUUGUGGUCAUCGUACACAAUCUUCGAGUUAGGUGUCUUGACAGCCUCAACAGUGGCAGGUUCAGAACCAAAACCAACCUCGUUUCCUUGAGUAAGGACUUGAGAAGAAAAACCUGAUAAUAGCAUGAAAAAACAUUAAUAUGUUCACAUCAAAGCAAACUUUUUUUCAAUCACCACAAUCAAUAUGUGACCUUUAACGAGUGCAUGCCGUAUAAGAAUAAUGCAGGAACAUGAGAGACUAAUUGAAACACAUACUAUACAACAACAUCAAAUUCAUUACCCUAAUCAACUGAAAAUCAAAAAUUACAAAUUCAAUAAGCAUAUGAAAGAAACGCUUAAAACUCCAAAGCUAAAAUCGCAAAAAAUAGCUCUUUUGGUGAACAAAAAGUUCCUCAGCAUGCCCUAUUAAACUGCUAUAAAAUACCCCAAACCAAGUAUGCAGCUAGAACAUCCAUCUCCGUAAUAAUGAAGAAAACACAAAGACCAAAACUUUAGAGACCAAUAACCAAUCACAUUAUGAAUAACCCUCAGCUAAAUAUUGUAGAAAAGAAGACCUAAAGAUCCAUCGAAACAAACACUCUACAACAAUACCAAAUUCAGUGAAAACUAAACUACUCUAGAACAUCCAUCUCCCUAAUAAUGAAGAAACAAAAGGAUACACAAAGAUCAAAACUUUAUAGAGUCCAAGAAGCCAAUCAGCCUAUCGUGAAGCUUCUCUCAUCAAAGGAAGGAUAAUCUCAGAACUAAUCAAUCAACUCAAAAUGUUUAUUUCUUGCUGCACGAAAGAAGCAAUCAUACAAGGCAAAGCUAUUCCGGUAAGGAGUAGAAUGAAAGGAAAUGGUACAUCAAUCAAGCUCUAGUACACGGUCCUAGAUUCAUGGAAACCAAACACAACACGUAGAUACGAUAGUAAGAAUCUCAAUCAUUACGGGACUCAAUACAAACAAAACAAACAAAAAAAACGAAUUUUUACAUCAUUCAAUCAAUCAAUCAACACCUGAAAUGAAAAUUUAAAUCAAUCCAGAUGAAGAGAGAGGCGUGUAGAUCUGCAGACCUCUUAUGAGAUUCCUGUGGUAAGAAUCGAAAGGUGAAAGAUUGGUAGAGGGGACGGAUCUGGGAGGUGAAGAGGAGGAGCCGCCGCCAUCGGAGAGGGUAUGGUCUCGGGAAAGGGCGAAGGAGGUCGCGGUGGAAGAUCUCUGCGAAAGAGAAAAGAGCCUCCUUCCUGCUACUCGCAGCAUCUCUGCUCAAUGGGGAAUCUAGGGUUUCGAGAACAGAGUAGUCCUGAGGUUAGGGACGGCCAAUGCAACAGAGCGAAGAGUCUUCCCGUAAAAUUAGUCUUCUAGGAAAGAAAAGGUCAAAGCUUUUUAAUAUUUAUUCAUCCUGAAUAAAAUAUGUUUUUUCAGUUUGAUCUUUGAUGAGAGAUUUUGUUGUUUUACAAAUAUAAUUGUUGUUUAAUUAUAUUUUCGAUACAUUUAAAAAAAAAAAAUUCUUUAGGAUAGUCAAUUAGUCAUUUUUAUGUUUCUGUCACAAAUUAAGAAAAAAAUGACCAAUUUUUUUUUAUUAAAAGGUAAAAAUAUAUUUAUAUCCUAAGACUAAUUAAUUUAGACUUAAAGUUUAGAACUAAAGGAUUGGUUUUGAGCAUAGUGUUUUAAAUUUUAAAAAGUAAAACAGAAAUAUUAAAAAUUUUAAAAUAAAAAUGAAUUAUUUUGGUCAUUUUUUUCUUUGAACGUUAUUUUUGUGACAAAAACUUUAAAUGACUAUUUGAGAGAAUUGAAUUUUUUUAACAUUGACUUGUUUUUAUUAUAAAUUAUAAAAAAAAAUUAUUACAUUUGCAUUUUAUAAGAAUUUUUAUUUACAAAGUACACCAUAAUAAAAAAAAUACCCUAAUAAAAAUUGAUGUCAUUUUUUUCAUUUAAUCUAAUUUGACUAAACUUUUUGAUGUAUAAGUAUUAAUGAAUUAUUAUUUAACUACUAGAUAAAUUAUGUUUAACCUGACAAAAAUAUAUAUAUACUGUACACACAUAUUCAUCCAUAUCAAUUUGAGAACAAUGGUGUAUUUUAAAAAUCAAACCCAAACUUUAUUAAGAAGAGGAUCUUGUCUGCAAUGACAAUAACUAAUGAAUAAAAUGUAUUUGGCUUGCCAAAUUAAAAAAAAAAAUCCAAUUAAGCUAUUCAAAAUACAAAACUGUUUUCAAACAAUAAACACAUACAUCGUUUCAUUCACCAGAUGGGACAGAUGCUAAGUCAUACAAUGACAAGUUUGUAUUAUUCAGUAAAACCAAGCACAAUCGUUUACUUGCUGAGAAGACCAAAGUGUGAGGAAAGCGUACUUGCACUUAGCCAGAAAGUAUAUAUAAAAGAAAAACAAAAAAACAAAUGAGGAUCUUUGAGACACAAACACUGUCUGACGUGCGUUUAUUCAUCAACCAAUGAGUAACUUGUUCUCUUCCAAGAAGCUGUAAGUUGGUACUUCCAAGUUGUAAGGUGCAGGACCUUUCCUGAUCCUUCCAGAGAUGUCGUAAUGCGAACCGUGACACGGGCAAAACCAGCCACCAUAGUCACCAGCAGUGGCAGGUUCAGAACCAAAACCAACCUCGUUUCCUUGAGUAAGGACUUGAGAAGAAAAACCUGAUAAUAGCAUGAAAAAACAUUAAUAUGUUCACAUCAAAGCAAACUUUUUUUCAAUCACCACAAUCAAUAUGUGACCUUUAACGAGUGCAUGCCGUAUAAGAAUAAUGCAGGAACAUGAGAGACUAAUUGAAACACAUACUAUACAACAACAUCAAAUUCAUUACCCUAAUCAACUGAAAAUCAAAAAUUACAAAUUCAAUAAGCAUAUGAAAGAAACGCUUAAAACUCCAAAGCUAAAAUCGCAAAAAAUAGCUCUUUUGGUGAACAAAAAGUUCCUCAGCAUGCCCUAUUAAACUGCUAUAAAAUACCCCAAACCAAGUAUGCAGCUAGAACAUCCAUCUCCGUAAUAAUGAAGAAAACACAAAGACCAAAACUUUAGAGACCAAUAACCAAUCACAUUAUGAAUAACCCUCAGCUAAAUAUUGUAGAAAAGAAGACCUAAAGAUCCAUCGAAACAAACACUCUACAACAAUACCAAAUUCAGUGAAAACUAAACUACUCUAGAACAUCCAUCUCCCUAAUAAUGAAGAAACAAAAGGAUACACAAAGAUCAAAACUUUAUAGAGUCCAAGAAGCCAAUCAGCCUAUCGUGAAGCUUCUCUCAUCAAAGGAAGGAUAAUCUCAGAACUAAUCAAUCAACUCAAAAUGUUUAUUUCUUGCUGCACGAAAGAAGCAAUCAUACAAGGCAAAGCUAUUCCGGUAAGGAGUAGAAUGAAAGGAAAUGGUACAUCAAUCAAGCUCUAGUACACGGUCCUAGAUUCAUGGAAACCAAACACAACACGUAGAUACGAUAGUAAGAAUCUCAAUCAUUACGGGACUCAAUACAAACAAAACAAACAAAAAAAACGAAUUUUUACAUCAUUCAAUCAAUCAAUCAACACCUGAAAUGAAAAUUUAAAUCAAUCCAGAUGAAGAGAGAGGCGUGUAGAUCUGCAGACCUCUUAUGAGAUUCCUGUGGUAAGAAUCGAAAGGUGAAAGAUUGGUAGAGGGGACGGAUCUGGGAGGUGAAGAGGAGGAGCCGCCGCCAUCGGAGAGGGUAUGGUCUCGGGAAAGGGCGAAGGAGGUCGCGGUGGAAGAUCUCUGCGAAAGAGAAAAGAGCCUCCUUCCUGCUACUCGCAGCAUCUCUGCUCAAUGGGGAAUCUAGGGUUUCGAGAACAGAGUAGUCCUGAGGUUAGGGACGGCCAAUGCAACAGAGCGAAGAGUCUUCCCGUAAAAUUAGUCUUCUAGGAAAGAAAAGGUCAAAGCUUUUUAAUAUUUAUUCAUCCUGAAUAAAAUAUGUUUUUUCAGUUUGAUCUUUGAUGAGAGAUUUUGUUGUUUUACAAAUAUAAUUGUUGUUUAAUUAUAUUUUCGAUACAUUUAAAAAAAAAAAAUUCUUUAGGAUAGUCAAUUAGUCAUUUUUAUGUUUCUGUCACAAAUUAAGAAAAAAAUGACCAAUUUUUUUUUAUUAAAAGGUAAAAAUAUAUUUAUAUCCUAAGACUAAUUAAUUUAGACUUAAAGUUUAGAACUAAAGGAUUGGUUUUGAGCAUAGUGUUUUAAAUUUUAAAAAGUAAAACAGAAAUAUUAAAAAUUUUAAAAUAAAAAUGAAUUAUUUUGGUCAUUUUUUUCUUUGAACGUUAUUUUUGUGACAAAAACUUUAAAUGACUAUUUGAGAGAAUUGAAUUUUUUUAACAUUGACUUGUUUUUAUUAUAAAUUAUAAAAAAAAAUUAUUACAUUUGCAUUUUAUAAGAAUUUUUAUUUACAAAGUACACCAUAAUAAAAAAAAUACCCUAAUAAAAAUUGAUGUCAUUUUUUUCAUUUAAUCUAAUUUGACUAAACUUUUUGAUGUAUAAGUAUUAAUGAAUUAUUAUUUAACUACUAGAUAAAUUAUGUUUAACCUGACAAAAAUAUAUAUAUACUGUACACACAUAUUCAUCCAUAUCAAUUUGAGAACAAUGGUGUAUUUUAAAAAUCAAACCCAAACUUUAUUAAGAAGAGGAUCUUGUCUGCAAUGACAAUAACUAAUGAAUAAAAUGUAUUUGGCUUGCCAAAUUAAAAAAAAAAAUCCAAUUAAGCUAUUCAAAAUACAAAACUGUUUUCAAACAAUAAACACAUACAUCGUUUCAUUCACCAGAUGGGACAGAUGCUAAGUCAUACAAUGACAAGUUUGUAUUAUUCAGUAAAACCAAGCACAAUCGUUUACUUGCUGAGAAGACCAAAGUGUGAGGAAAGCGUACUUGCACUUAGCCAGAAAGUAUAUAUAAAAGAAAAACAAAAAAACAAAUGAGGAUCUUUGAGACACAAACACUGUCUGACGUGCGUUUAUUCAUCAACCAAUGAGUAACUUGUUCUCUUCCAAGAAGCUGUAAGUUGGUACUUCCAAGUUGUAAGGUGCAGGACCUUUCCUGAUCCUUCCAGAGAUGUCGUAAUGCGAACCGUGACACGGGCAAAACCAGCCACCAUAGUCACCAGCAUUAGGCAAAGGGAUGCACCCCAAAUGAGUGCAGACCCCAACCACCACCAACCACUCUGGAUUCUUCACCCUCACCGAGUCCUCUUGCGGGUCUCUCAGAGAUCCAAGAUCCACACUGUUAGCCAGCUUGAUGUCAUCUUCCGUUCUACGUCUAAUAAAGACAGGCUUUCCACGCCACUUCACUGUCACAGUUGUUCCCGGUUCGAUGCUACCGAGGUCUACCUCGAGGGAAGCAAGGGCAAGGACAUCUUUACUCGCGGACAUGCUGACAAUGAGCUUCAGGACAAGAAGGCGGAGAACAGAGGCGUAGACAAACCUCCCACCGGACAAGACGAAAUAGGCGAAGGCACGCUUGCUAGGGUCACCAGGUGGGUAACGCUCAUGGUUGUGGUCAUCGUACACAAUCUUCGAGUUAGGUGUCUUGACAGCCUCAACGGUGGCUGGGACUUCAGAAGCAAAACCUAUCUCGUUUCCUUGAGUAAUGACUUGAGAAGAGAAACCUGAUAAUAGCAUGAACAACAUUAAUAUAUUAUUUCACAUAAAGGCAAAAACUUUACUUACCGGUCAAGUGUUCUACAACAAUAGUAUUAAGUAACAAACGGGUCAGCAAAUAACACUGAAGAAAGAACUACCGCUACAACAUUAAUAUAUAUAACCUUCUAAGGAGAAGCACAAGUACAUAAACUUUUAAAUCAUUAAAGUAAAAUACAUCCCAGCAAUUCUACUCUAAUAAGCUAAUCAACACAAAAAUCAAGAAACAAAUUCAAUGAUCAAAUGACUGAAAUACUCACAAGAAAAGUUCUCAAAGCUAAGACUACAAGCACAGAACAAAGAUACUAAUUCAAGAUUCCUAUACUGAUAUAGUUAACAUGAUGUGCAUAAACCAUCAUCCAUCUCCCAAACAAUGAACACACACACAAGUUACAAGUUUUAUAAAAUUCAAGAAGCCAAUGUGAAUCUCACUUAUGGAUAUUGGACAACGCACCACAAGGUUAUUACAAAACAGGAAAAGCUUUUGUCAUCAAACAGAAAUGGUCAAAUCAUAUUAAUCCGAUCAAACAAAAGGAAACAAAACAUUUCAAGAAACAUGGAAGGUCAAAGCAGAUAACUUGAAACUAAAUCAUCUCCGGGACUCAUACAAGCACACAAAGAUUUGACUUUUACGAUUAUUUAUUCAAAAACAACACCUGGAAAUGAAAAUUGAAAUCAAUCCAGAGAAGAGUAAAGGUUGAAGAUUUGAACAAACCUCUCAAAAGACUCCGGUGGUAAGAACUGAAACAUGAAAGAUCCGCAGAAGGAGCAGCAGAUCUGGUGGAGUCCUCGCCGCCUUCUUUGGAGAUGGUGUGAUCUCUGGAAAGGACGAAGGAGGUCGCGGUGGAAGAUCUCUGCUGAAGAGACAAAAGCCUCCUCCCUGCAACUCGCAGCAUCUUCUCUGAGUUCUCUCAAUGGGUAAGGUGAGGUUAGGACUGGUCUCGAUGCCCAAAUAAAAAAAAAAGAUGACACCUUUAUAGAGAAAAUGUCAAAUCACUUUUGGUUUUGUAGCAUCGUGGCACCUUAAUGUACUUAUGUUUGUUAUUAUUCCUCGUGACUCAUUAUGUUACCAAACUAAUGUAAACAAAGGACAAAAUAAUCUGAUUGGUUCAUAAUCUCCAAAGGCUUUAUUUUGAAGCAAACAACAAUUUGUAAAAAUGCAAUAACAAACUUCCAAAAGUGUUUUAUAUGUUUGUUUGUUUGUUUCCCAAGAGGAGGAGGGUGAUAAUUUAUUUGUCAACAGGUUUGCAAAAAAACAUGUUUCUUUAGGGGGAAAUUUAUCAGAGGUUGGUGAAGUCAACAGGUUCACGGAGGAGCCUCUCCAUCUGCUGUGCCCUUGUCCUGAUAGACAUGUCCAGCACCUUUUGUUGAAACUCUACUAUUAACCCUCCAUAGAUACUCGGAUCAAUCUGCCAUAACAAAACAAACAUGUAUUAGAUUCCAGCUUCACAAUCACAAGCCAAUAAUCACCAUUACAUACCUUUUGUUCCACAGUUACUUUCUUCCCUUCUCCGAUUAUCUCCUGAAGUGUCUCCUUAAGCUCCUUCUCCUCAGCAGGAGGCAGCGGCUGUUUGUCAACAAAAAAAUAAAAAACAUUUUGCUGUUUAAAUCCUGAUGAUGGUUACGGUUUCUUUAAGUAGUCAAACUAUAUCUUACCAUGACUGUGGUAACCAAAACCUUGACGUCUCCUCUAUGUGCUGUCGUCAGCUGCAUGAAUUUCUUCACAAUCACGUCUAGGUUCUUCAGCUUCCCAUUCUCAGCUAACAAAGCUGUUUAACAAUAAAAAGUAUAUCAAAAUCACAACAAACAUGCUCAGUCAAAAUCAUAAACAAGCAAUCAGUUGUGACAUACAGAGGAAGUUCUUGGUGGGUUCUGCAAACUUUGCUUUGUCACAAACAUCGACAAUAGCAGCGAGUCUUGUCUCUCUAGGAACAGAGGGAUCCUUAGUAAACUGCGCAAAAAUAGGACUAGUCUUCAUAGCCUCAACCAGCUCAGAGAGAUCAGUCUCAAUCUUCUCCAAGGAGUUCAUUUUCACAGCUGCGAUGUACAGCCACGAAGCAAAGUUGCCAGAUUCACCAACUAAUGCCACAGGCACCUGAAUAGCAAACAUUACACAAAACACAAUUGUAUUAAAACAACAACAAAGUAUAAAUCCACCAGAUACACUUCCAGUGAUAUAUCAAUGCAUAAUACAUUAUACAUCGAUUCAUUUCAUGCCUAUGCAAUAAUCCAAAGCCAUUUGAAGAGACUAUCACAUGUAAGAAGUACAUGGAUGCAUAUAGUAAGUGCGUGUACCUUAACAUUGACGGUGUUCUGAGCAGAAGCAGUUGCAUAAUCUCUCAACUGCGAUUAAAAAGUAAAGAUUUUUAUUAAAUUGAUUACAUCUCUCCGGAAAACCUCAGGACUACCAAUUAGGAAUCUUCUAAAACAUAGAACAAUGUAAACUCGUCAACACAUUCCAUCCUCUCGUGUAAUCAGGCCAAUCAGAUUCUUGUAAAGAUUGAUGCAUUAUUACAAGAACAAGAACAACAAAAAGUGGUAUUGAGAUUCGAUUUGUUUUUUUUUUUUUUUAAAUGAUUACCGAAGGGAUAAGCGAGCCUCCACGGGGGUAAGAUCUAGCAUCAGAGACGGAGAUGUUCUUGAAGAAGGAGAUUCCGGAUCUGAUACGACCAGCCAACGCCAUUUUUUUUGUUGUUGCAGAUUAAUCUGAUUGGAACCCUAGAGACAAUCAAUCAGCUGUUCUGUCGGAGAGAGUAUAGAGAAGGAGACUGGUCAGCGGAGUGAUUUGGGCUUCACUGGGCUUUCCUACGUUUGGUUUUAGUUAUUGGACUUUUUCACGUUUAUUUUAUUGGGCUUACUGCAGCCAUAAAAAGAUAGAGAUAUUAAUUUGUAGAAAGAUGAAAUUGGAUAGGCUGUAACAGUUGGGAUAAUUUUGUUUGUUUGCCAUCUGAACAAAUAUGCAGUGCGUUGUCACUGACAUUUUUGGUUACCAAUUUUACAAAUAUGAAGUGCAUUGUAAAUUUUCGCAACGAAGCUCUAACGUUAAAAGUUAACACGGUUAAUAUCGUUUAUAUCCUUAAUGAAUAAAUUAGAUAAAAUAAAAAAACGAAUUUAGUGUUUAUUUGAUUAGAUAUGUGCUUACAAUUAAUAAAAAUAAAGAUUAUCCAUAAUUUAAAAAUAUAUUUAAAAUAAAAAAAUAAUUCUUAUAUAUAUUAUAUUGUUAUCUUAAAAAAAACAGAAAAUACAUAAUUAAAUAUUAAAUAAAAUUAUUGAUUCUAUAUAAUUGAAAGAGAAUAUCAAGUGAUCUCUAAGAUUUAUAUAUUAUUUAUUAAUAAUGAGUAUAGUGUACAAACGAAUUUUAAAAAUUUGCAAUACAUAAGAAUUUUCAAUGAAAACAUAAAUAAUAAUUUAAAACUAUUAUUUGCGAAGUAAUUUUCGCAACGAAACUCUCACAUUAAAAGUUAGCACGGUUAAUAUCGUUUAUACCCUUAAUGAAAAAUUAAAUAAACUAGAUAAAAUAAAAUAAGGAAUUUAGUGUUUAUUUGAUUAGAUAAGUGCUUACAACUAAUAAAAAUAAAAAAAUUCCAUAAUUUAAAAAUAUAUUUAAGAGAAAAGAUAAUUCCUAUAUAUAUUGUGUUGUUAUCCUUUUUAAAAAACAGAAAAUGCAUAAUUAAAUAUUAAGUAAAAUUAUUAAUUCUAUAUAAUUGAAAGAGAAUAUUAAGUAACCUCUAAGAUUUUUAUAUUAUUUAUUAAUAAAGAAUAUAAUGUACAAAUGAAUUUUAAAAAUUUGUAAUACAUAAGAUUUUCAAUGAAAACAUAAAUAAUAAUUUAAAAUUAUAAUUCUUUAAUUAAUAAUACAUGUAUUAAUAAGUAGUUAUAAAAUUUAUAUGCCCGCAUGUGCGGGUGAAACACCUAGUAAGUCUUAGAAGUUGACUUAUAUGGCAGUGUCUUAAAAACCACACGAUUUGUUGUUAAGAUAAACAUUAGGAUGGUCUUGAUUUUGAUAUAACUACGUUAAUUUCACAUUUUUCUAGCAAAAAGUUAGUUAAAUCUGUUAAAGUGGUUAAUAAACUGAUCUAGUAGCUAUUCUUGGAUGUUUCAUCUUUGACAUGUAUAAGAAGAGUGACAUGUUAAAGACAAAUCUAUGGCGAUGCAGAUCUUUUAACACAUAGACAAAGAUUAGAGGAGAAUUUUACCAAAAAAAAAAAAGAUUAGAGGAGAAGUGGGAGGGGUAGAACAAUAAUUUCUCGGGGGUGCAACAUGAAGUGUCUCUGGAAGUGUCACGUUAACUUGUCGGCACUGUGGAGAAGACAACAACCUUCUCUUUCAAAACCAGCCACCAUAGUCACCAGCAUUAGGCAAAGGGAUGCACCCCAAAUGAGUGCAGACCCCAACCACCACCAACCACUCUGGAUUCUUCACCCUCACCGAGUCCUCUUGCGGGUCUCUCAGAGAUCCAAGAUCCACACUGUUAGCCAGCUUGAUGUCAUCUUCCGUUCUACGUCUAAUAAAGACAGGCUUUCCACGCCACUUCACUGUCACAGUUGUUCCCGGUUCGAUGCUACCGAGGUCUACCUCGAGGGAAGCAAGGGCAAGGACAUCUUUACUCGCGGACAUGCUGACAAUGAGCUUCAGGACAAGAAGGCGGAGAACAGAGGCGUAGACAAACCUCCCACCGGACAAGACGAAAUAGGCGAAGGCACGCUUGCUAGGGUCACCAGGUGGGUAACGCUCAUGGUUGUGGUCAUCGUACACAAUCUUCGAGUUAGGUGUCUUGACAGCCUCAACGGUGGCUGGGACUUCAGAAGCAAAACCUAUCUCGUUUCCUUGAGUAAUGACUUGAGAAGAGAAACCUGAUAAUAGCAUGAACAACAUUAAUAUAUUAUUUCACAUAAAGGCAAAAACUUUACUUACCGGUCAAGUGUUCUACAACAAUAGUAUUAAGUAACAAACGGGUCAGCAAAUAACACUGAAGAAAGAACUACCGCUACAACAUUAAUAUAUAUAACCUUCUAAGGAGAAGCACAAGUACAUAAACUUUUAAAUCAUUAAAGUAAAAUACAUCCCAGCAAUUCUACUCUAAUAAGCUAAUCAACACAAAAAUCAAGAAACAAAUUCAAUGAUCAAAUGACUGAAAUACUCACAAGAAAAGUUCUCAAAGCUAAGACUACAAGCACAGAACAAAGAUACUAAUUCAAGAUUCCUAUACUGAUAUAGUUAACAUGAUGUGCAUAAACCAUCAUCCAUCUCCCAAACAAUGAACACACACACAAGUUACAAGUUUUAUAAAAUUCAAGAAGCCAAUGUGAAUCUCACUUAUGGAUAUUGGACAACGCACCACAAGGUUAUUACAAAACAGGAAAAGCUUUUGUCAUCAAACAGAAAUGGUCAAAUCAUAUUAAUCCGAUCAAACAAAAGGAAACAAAACAUUUCAAGAAACAUGGAAGGUCAAAGCAGAUAACUUGAAACUAAAUCAUCUCCGGGACUCAUACAAGCACACAAAGAUUUGACUUUUACGAUUAUUUAUUCAAAAACAACACCUGGAAAUGAAAAUUGAAAUCAAUCCAGAGAAGAGUAAAGGUUGAAGAUUUGAACAAACCUCUCAAAAGACUCCGGUGGUAAGAACUGAAACAUGAAAGAUCCGCAGAAGGAGCAGCAGAUCUGGUGGAGUCCUCGCCGCCUUCUUUGGAGAUGGUGUGAUCUCUGGAAAGGACGAAGGAGGUCGCGGUGGAAGAUCUCUGCUGAAGAGACAAAAGCCUCCUCCCUGCAACUCGCAGCAUCUUCUCUGAGUUCUCUCAAUGGGUAAGGUGAGGUUAGGACUGGUCUCGAUGCCCAAAUAAAAAAAAAAGAUGACACCUUUAUAG